UUUUAAAUCUAAAAUUAUCUCAAUCCAACAUUAUCUUCAAGUAUUAUAUUGCCCUCUUGUGGCAGACAUUGUUCUAACUUCUUCAAAAUCUACUUAUUUUUCUUGGUGGAGUCAAAUUGCUUAAGUAUCCCUUAUCCCUGAACAACCAAAUAAACGUAAUGGGAUAUUAUUUAUAUAAACCUGGGUAUUUGGGAUGGUGACCUGAGAUGGGGCAACAAACGUAUGACAAACAGAGAAGAACAAUACUACCUGAGCCUCAGCUGACACCAGAAGAGAGAACUGGCACUGCGUUGCGCCAGACAGUGUUUUGUGGGAUGAAAGCAAGAAGGGCUGAUACUGCGGAGUCCCACAGUCAGACGAUCACUUGAAAAAUCAAAUUGACACAGCCUGGAUCAAAUAUAUUGAAGUCAUCUCAUCUAUUUAAAAAGAGCUUGUGGAUGAGAUUUACAGCAUACUUUUCCAACUUUGGGAUACAUCAUUUUUCACUGCAAAACAAAAUGACAGGACACCAGGAGAAAUUCCCUUCUCUUUUUGAUUGUGCCACGGGAUCUGUAAAGUGCAUCUGAAUAAGCAGAUCGGACCUUGGUUUGAUCUCUCAUCAACACUGUUUGGAGUGUCAAACACUUGGCAAAACAGAACUCCCAACAACAAUUUACAUGUAAUCAGUGCCCUUCACACU